rnacentral:rRNA from 1 species
UUGCAGUCGAGCGGAAGAAGGGAGCUUGCUCCCGGAUGUUAGCGGCGGACGGGUGAGUAACACGUGGGUAACCUGCCUGUAAGACUGGGAUAACUCCGGGAAACCGGAGCUAAUACCGGAUAGUUCCUUGAACCGCAUGGUUCAAGGAUGAAAGACGGUUUCGGCUGUCACUUACAGAUGGACCCGCGGCGCAUUAGCUAGUUGGUGAGGUAACGGCUCACCAAGGCGACGAUGCGUAGCCGACCUGAGAGGGUGAUCGGCCACACUGGGACUGAGACACGGCCCAGACUCCUACGGGAGGCAGCAGUAGGGAAUCUUCCGCAAUGGACGAAAGUCUGACGGAGCAACGCCGCGUGAGUGAUGAAGGUUUUCGGAUCGUAAAGCUCUGUUGUUAGGGAAGAACAAGUGCAAGAGUAACUGCUUGCACCUUGACGGUACCUAACCAGAAAGCCACGGCUAAUCUGACGUGCCAGGCAGACCGCGGUAAUACGUAGGUGGCAAGCGUUGUCCGGAAUUAUUUGGGCGUAAAGGGCUCGCAGGCGGUUUCUUAAGUCUGAUGUGAAAGCCCCCGGCUCAACCGGGGAGGGUCAUUGGAAACUGGGAAACUUGAGUGCAGAAGAGGAGAGUGGAAUUCCACGUGUAGCGGUGAAAUGCGUAGAGAUGUGGAGGAACACCAGUGGCGAAGGCGACUCUCUGGUCUGUAACUGACGCUGAGGAGCGAAAGCGUGGGGAGCGAACAGGAUUAGAUACCCGGUGGUAGUCCACGCCGUAAACGAUGAGUGCUAAGUGUUAGGGGGUUUCCGCCCCUUAGUGCUGCAGCUAACGCAUUAAGCACUCCGCCUGGGGAGUACGGUCGCAAGACUGAAACUCAAAGGAAUUGACGGGGGCCCGCACAAGCGGUGGAGCAUGUGGUUUAAUUCGAAGCAACGCGAAGAACCUUACCAGGUCUUGACAUCCUCUGACAACCCUAGAGAUAGGGCUUUCCCUUCGGGGACAGAGUGACAGGUGGUGCAUGGUUGUCGUCAGCUCGUGUCGUGAGAUGUUGGGUUAAGUCCCGCAACGAGCGCAACCCUUGAUCUUAGUUGCCAGCAUUCAGUUGGGCACUCUAAGGUGACUGCCGGUGACAAACCGGAGGAAGGUGGGGAUGACGUCAAAUCAUCAUGCCCCUUAUGACCUGGGCUACACACGUGCUACAAUGGACAGAACAAAGGGCUGCGAGACCGCAAGGUUUAGCCAAUCCCACAAAUCUGUUCUCAGUUCGGAUCGCAGUCUGCAACUCGACUGCGUGAAGCUGAUAU